GACGAACGCUGGCGGCGUGCUUAACACAUGCAAGUCGAACGGUAAGGCCCCUUCGGGGGUACACGAGUGGCGAACGGGUGAGUAACACGUGAGCAACCUGCCCUUGACCCUGGAAUAACAGCUGGAAACAGCUGCUAAUACCGGAUAUGACUCAUCUCGACAUCGAGCGUGAGUGGAAAGCUCCGGCGGUCAAGGAUGGGCUCGCGGCCUAUCAGCUAGUUGGUGAGGUAACGGCUCACCAAGGCUUCGACGGGUAGCCGGCCUGAGAGGGCGACCGGCCACACUGGGACUGAGAUACGGCCCAGACUCCUACGGGAGGCAGCAGUGGGGAAUAUUGCACAAUGGGCGAAAGCCUGAUGCAGCAACGCCGCGUGCGGGAUGACGGCCUUCGGGUUGUAAACCGCUCUCAGCUCCGACGAAGCGCAAGUGACGGUAGGAGCAGAAGAAGGACCGGCCAACUACGUGCCAGCAGCCGCGGUGAUACGUAGGGUCCGAGCGUUGUCCGGAAUUAUUGGGCGUAAAGGGCUUGUAGGCGGUUUGUCACGUCGGAAGUGAAAACUCAGGGCUUAACCCUGAGCCUGCUUCCGAUACGGGCAAACUAGAGGGAUGCAGGGGAGAACGGAAUUCCUGGUGGAGCGGUGGAAUGCGCAGAUAUCAGGGGGAACACCGGUGGCGAAGGCGGUUCUCUGGGCAUUUCCUGACGCUGAGAAGCGAAAGCGUGGGGAGCAAACAGGCUUAGAUACCCUGGUAGUCCACGCCGUAAACGGUGGGCACUAGGUGUGGGGGACAUUCCACGUUCUCCGUGCCGAAGCUAACGCAUUAAGUGCCCCGCCUGGGGAGUACGGCCGCAAGGCUAAAACUCAAAGGAAUUGACGGGGGCCCGCACAAGCGGCGGAGCAUGCGGAUUAAUUCGAUGCGACGCGAAGAACCUUACCUGGGUUUGACAUAUACCGGAAAGCUGCAGAGAUGUAGCCCCCGCAAGGUCGGUAUACAGGUGGUGCAUGGCUGUCGUCAGCUCGUGUCGUGAGAUGUUGGGUUAAGUCCCGCAACGAGCGCAACCCUCGUCCUAUGUUGCCAGCGGAUAAUGCCGGGGACUCAUAGGAGACUGCCGGGGUCAACUCGGAGGAAGGUGGGGAUGACGUCAAGUCUUCAUGCCCCUUAAGUCCAGGGCUUCACGCAUGCUACAAUGGCUGGUACAAAGGGCUGCAAAACCGCAAGGUCGAGCGAAUCCCAAAAAGCCAGUCUCAGUUCGGAUUGGGGUCUGCAACUCGACCCCAUGAAGUCGGAGUCGCUAGUAAUCGCAGAUCAGCAACGCUGCGGUGAAUACGUUCCCGGGCCU
rnacentral:rRNA from 1 species